AUACAGAGGGUGCAAGCGUUACUCGGAAUCACUGGGCGUAAAGCGCGCGCAGGCGGGCUGAUAAGUUGGAUGUGAAAGCCUACGGCUCAACCGUAGAACUGCAUCCAAAACUGUCAGUCUAGAGUCUGGGAGGGGAAGAUGGAAUUAGUUGUGUAGGGGUAAAAUCCGUAGAGAUAACUAGGAAUACCAAAAGCGAAGGCGAUCUUCUGGAACAGUACUGACGCUGAGGCGCGAAAGCGUGGGGAGCAAACAGGAUUAGAAACCCUUGUAGUCC
rnacentral:rRNA from 1 species